rnacentral:rRNA from 1 species
UAGUCCACGCAGUAAACGAUGAGUGCUAGUUGUCGGGAUUUUUCUCGGUGGCGAAGCUAACGCGUUAAGCACUCCGCCUGGGGAGUACGGCCGCGAGGCUAAAACUCAAAGGAAUUGACGGGGACCCGCACAAGCAGUGGAGCAUGUGGUUUAAUUCGAUGAUACGCGAGAAACCUUACCAGCUCUUGAAUCCUGAUUACGAUUUUCAGAGAUGAAUUUUUCAGUCCGGCUGGACCAGUGACAGGUGCUGCAUGGCUGUCGUCAGCUCGUGUCGUGAGAUGUUGGGUUAAGUCCCGCAACGAGCGCAACCCUCAUCCUUAGUUGCCAGCAUUUAGUUGGGCACUCUAAGGAAACUGCCGGUGAUAAGCCGGAGGAAGGUGGGGAUGACGUCAAGUCCUCAUGGCCCUUACAAGCUGGGCUACACACGUGCUACAAUGGCGAUGACAGUGAGCAGCUAACCCGCGAGGGCAAGCUAAUCUCUAAAAGUCGUCUC